rnacentral:rRNA from 1 species
AUUGAACGCUGGCGGCAUGCCUUACACAUGCAAGUCGAAUGGCAGCACGGGGCAACUUGGUGGCGAGUGGCGAACGGGUGAGUAAUGCAUCGGAACGUACCUUUCAGUGGGGGAUAACGUAGCGAAAGUUACGCUAAUACCGCAUAUUCUGUGAGCAGGAAAGCAGGGGAUCGCAAGACCUUGCGCUGAUUGAGCGGCCGGUGUCAGAUUAGCUAGUUGGUGAGGUAAAGGCCCACCAAGGCGACGAUCUGUAGCGGGUCUGAGAGGAUGAUCCGCCACACUGGAACUGAGAAGCGGUCCCGACUCCUACGGGAGGCAGCAGUGGGGAAUUUUGAACAAUGGGGGCAACCCUGAUCCAGCCAUGCGGCGUGAGUGAAGAAGGCCUUCGGGUUGUAAAGCUCUUUCGGCAGGGAAGAAAUCGCACGGGCUAAUACCCUGUGUGGAUGACGGUACCGGAAUAAGAAGCACCGGCUAACUACGUGCAGCCGCCGCCGUAAGAC